CGUAUGGUUUAUGAUAACAUUGACGAGGACUGGCACUCUUAUUUAAUUUAUAAGCGGAAAUGCACCCGCAUUGCUUAACGGAGUUGGUUAAUAAGAUUCCUAUGGUUUGUGUUAUAGUAGGAAGUGGAGAUGACUUCCCAGAAAACUUCCAGGAUGAGUCUGCCAAAAAUUUUAGGUACACUAACCCCAUAUCCAUUCCACUAGCAGGCCUUGAUGGGAGUGAUCAAUACCGACAUCAA
rnacentral:lncRNA from 1 species